rnacentral:rRNA from 1 species
CGACGUGGGUAACCUGCCUCAUACAGGGGGAUAGCAGCUGGAAACGGCUGGCAAUACCGCAUAAGCGCACGGUAUCGCAUGAUACAGUGUGAAAAACUCCGGUGGUAUGAGAUGGACCCGCGUCUGAUUAGCUGGUUGGUGAGGUAACGGCCCACCAAGGCGACGAUCAGUAGCCGACCUGAGAGGGUGACCGGCCACAUUGGGACUGAGACACGGCCCAG